rnacentral:rRNA from 1 species
CCUACGGGUGGCUGCAGUGGGGAAUAUUGGGCAAUGGAGGAAACUCUGACCCAGCAACGCCGCGUGAAUGAUGAAGGUCUUCGGAUUGGAAAGGUCUUUUCUAAGGGAAGAAGAAAGUGACGGUACCUUAGGAAUAAGCCUCGGCUAACUCAGUGCCAGCAGCCGCGGUAAUCCGUAGGAGGCGAGCGUUAUCCGGAAUGACUGGGCGUAAAGGGUUCGUAGGUGGUUUGGCAAGUUAGUAGCGUAACUCCAAGGCUCAACCUUGGAACUACUACUAAAACUGUGGGACUUGAGUGCAGGAGGGGCAAGCGGAAUGCCUAGUGUAGCGGUGGAAUGCGUAGAUAUUAGGAGGAACCCCAGUGGCGAAGGCAGGUUGCUAGACUGUAACUGACACUGAGGCACGAAAGCGUGGGGAGCAAACAGGAUUAGAUACCCCGGUAGUC